rnacentral:ncRNA from 2 species
AUCGUUCAUCCCCAUAAGGGCUCGGGUCAUCUUUACAAGGCGAUCGCAGCGCUUGGGGGACGGAAGUAGGGAAAAAUCCCGAAGGAACGCGCC